rnacentral:tRNA from 1 species
GGAUUGUGGCUCGGUGGUAGAGUGCUCGCCUGGCACAUGUGAGGCCCUCGGUUUGAUCCUCAGCACCA